rnacentral:rRNA from 1 species
CUUUCUUUGCUGGCGACCGGCGCACGGGUGAGUAACACGUAUCCAACCUGCCCUUUACUCGGGGAUAGCCUUUCGAAAGAAAGAUUAAUACCCGAUAGCAUAAUGAUUCCGCAUGGUUUCAUUAUUAAAGGAUUCCGGUAAAGGAUGGGGAUGCGUUCCAUUAGGUUGUUGGUGAGGUAACGGCCCACCAAGCCUUCGAUGGAUAGGGGUUCUGAGAGGAAGGUCCCCCACAUUGGAACUGAGACACGGUCAA